UACGUAGGGGGCAAGCGUUAUCCGGAUUUACUGGGUGUAAAGGGAGCGUAGACGGUAGUGCAAGUCUGGAGUGAAAGGCGGGGGCCCAACCCCCGGACUGCUCUGGAAACUGUGCGACUAGAGUGCAGGAGAGGUAAGUGGAAUUCCUAGUGUAGCGGUGAAAUGCGUAGAUAUUAGGAGGAACACCAGUGGCGAAGGCGGCCUGCUGGACGACAACUGACGGUGAGGCGCGAAAGCGUGGGGAGCAAACAGG
rnacentral:rRNA from 1 species